rnacentral:rRNA from 1 species
CGCUGGCGGCGUGCUCAUACAUGCAAGUCGAACGAGAAGCUUACUUCGGUAAGUGGAAAGUGGCGGACGGGUGAGUAAUGUGUAGAGAAUCUGCCCUGAAGUGGGGGACAACAGAGGGAAACUUCUGCUAAUACCCCAUAUGAGCGUAGUUGCGAUACUAUUCUUGAAAGAUUUAUCGCUUCAGGAUGAGUCUGCAUCUGAUUAGCUAGUUGGGGGUGUAAUGGACCACCAAGGCGACGAUCAGUAGCUGGUUUGAGAGGAUGAUCAGCCACAAUGGGACUGAGACACGGCCCAUACUCCUACGGGAGGCAGCAGUAGGGAAUUUUGCGCAAUGGGCGAAAGCCUGACGCAAGCAACGCCGCGUGAUCGCAGACGGCCUUCGGGUUGUAAAGAUCUGUCAGUAGGGACGAACAAUGACUGUACCUACAGAGGAAGCACCGGCUAACUCCGUGCCAGCCGCGGC